CUACCUUGCUUCAUUCAGGUCUCUGCUCAGAUAUAUCUGUCACAGUUUCUAUGGCUCUUAGCAUCCUGUUUCUUCAUUGCCCUCAUCAUUUGCUAAAGUAACAAAUACCUUAUGAAUUUAUCUUUGUUUCUCCCCUCACUAGAAUGUGAACUUCAUAAAGGCAGGAAUUUUUAUGUGUCUUCUUUAUUUCUUUAUUCCAGGACCUGGUCUAUAGUGGGUGUUCGGAGACUGCAGAGCACCACCAUAACCCAGAAGGCUACAACAACUGGAAGCAGAUUGGGAGUGAGGAGGAAGUGGGCAGAGGAUGUCUGGUGGCCUUGGUGACCAGCAGCUGAGGACCCAUUGAUACCCAGGUGGAGAGGGAGGUGCCGAUUCUCCUGAAUCACGAGAGCAAAGAAAUCACACGUUCUGAGGCCACGAGCUGUCUGCUUUCACCGCGCCUCCCCUCUCAUCAGUGUGGAAGAAAAUCACCAUAUGCGUGAAUGUGACAGCUGAGGCUCAUGAAGACCUGAGUCAGGAGAAACAGGAUAAUACAUAUUUCAAAUGUUCUCUUUCCUAAGCCCAUUCCAUGUGUAAAAUGUUUUAGAAAGAUUUCCAUCCCACAUAAUUAAUUUUUCUUAAGGCCUUGGUUUUUAAAGAGGUAAGCUUGCCAAAUUUGGGCAUUUCACUGACGGGGAAUAUAUCUAAUUCCCCGAAACCUAGGUAAAUUCUUUCCUAAAUGGUAUAUGAUCCAUUAAGGAGUUUCCCAACCGAGUUUAGGGAAUAGAUACAAACUACAAAGCAUACCAUUAAAGAGCAAUUAAAGCACUAGCUCUGCCACAACUAUCAGGAAUAACAGGAUAACUGAAGCAGAGGACCUCACGUGGGCUGGGACAGGUGGAAAAGAUUCCAAGACAGCGCUGCACAAUCGCAAGCUCAUUGCAGGCAGGGAGCUCCGCCUAGCCCUCUUUGCAUCUCCUCUGAAAUGCUUACCUUGCAGGAGGUACUCUGAAAAUGCUUCCUGACUGAUGUCUGUAGGGGUGAGAUUUGGUGGGAGAAUAAUACAGCUAAUUGUGUAUGUGCGAAAGGGUUUGGUGUGAAACAGAGUGACUUGAUCUAGAUGAAUGAAAAGCCGUGUGGGGGAAUUGUGAGACAUCCUUAUUGCUAUGUAGGCUGCAGCAGAGGAUUGAAACAGCUGGUGGAUAGGGCAGCGCUCCAGGAUGUUGGCGUCCACGUGAGUUCCUGAGCUGAAGUCUGCAGAGCACCACCAUGACCCGGAAGGCAUACAGAACUUGGAGUGGAGGGAUCAGGAUUCAGAGCACGUUUCAGCGCUACACCGCAGUAUCUGGCACGUAGAAGGAAUUCAGAAAUACUGAAUGAAGGAGCACCUGUUACGUACCUAGCAUUGAGCAAGGAGCUAGCAAUACAGAAUAGAGAGGCUGCCAUGAAGAACACAUUGAUUUUUAAAUUCAAGAUAAAAAUAAAUGACUUAUGGCCAAGGCAGUUUUCACUUUGAUUUUUUAAACUGCAAAUGCAGUUUAGGAGAAAUUUGAUCUAUCUGCUUCUGAUUCACUCACACUGGAAUCAUUCAGGUGUUGUUUGG
rnacentral:lncRNA from 1 species